GGGACAGUAGCUUAGUCGGUUGCGCGCCGCGCCGGGAGGUAACACGCCGGUUCGAGUCCGGCCUGUCCCG
rnacentral:tRNA from 1 species